rnacentral:rRNA from 1 species
UACGAAGGGGGCUAGCGUUGUUCGGAAUUACUGGGCGUAAAGCGCGCGCAGGCGGCUAUCCAAGUCAGUGGUGAAAGCCCAGGGCUCAACCCUGGAACUGCCCUUAAUACUGCUGGUCUGGAGGUCGAGAGAGGUGAGUGGAAUUCCGAGUGUAGAGGUGAAAUUCGUAGAUAUUCGGAGGAACACCAGUGGCGAAGGCGGCUCACUGGCUCGAUACUGACGCUGAGGUGCGAAAGCGUGGGGAGCAAACAGG